rnacentral:rRNA from 1 species
CCUACGGGUGGCUGCAGUGGGGAAUAUUGGACAAUGGGCGAAAGCCUGAUCCAGCCAUGCCGCGUGUGUGAAGAAGGCCUUCGGGUUGUAAAGCACUUUCAGUGGGGAAGAAAGCCUUGGGGCUAAUACCCUCGAGGAAGGACAUCACCCACAGAAGAAGCACCGGCUAACUCCGUGCCAGCAGCCGCGGUAAUACGGAGGGUGCGAGCGUUAAUCGGAAUUACUGGGCGUAAAGCGCGCGUAGGCGGUCUGAUAAGCCGGUUGUGAAAGCCCCGGGCUCAACCUGGGAACGGCAUCCGGAACUGUCAGGCUAGAGUGCAGGAGAGGAAGGUAGAAUUCCCGGUGUAGCGGUGAAAUGCGUAGAGAUCGGGAGGAAUACCAGUGGCGAAGGCGGCCUUCUGGACUGACACUGACGCUGAGGUGCGAAAGCGUGGGUAGCAAACAGGAUUAGAUGCCCUAGUAGUC